rnacentral:misc_RNA from 1 species
AACGAUAAUGUAAUUAUUUAUUCGUCUUCAUUAUUGUCGCAAAUCUCAGUAUAUAUAUCUGUGUAUAAGGGUGGUCCUUAACAGGGUUGUUUUUGAAUUUGUAUGCUUCCAGGGGCUUAAACGCUUUCAAAUUAGUAAAAAAAAAAAAUUCACUGAAAAUUUGAGUUCUCUACAUAAACUCCAAGAUAUUCCAGUUUUUUAUCGAAGUAUCUUAUGAAAAUAACAUGAGGAAAUUUUUUUUUUUUUUGACCCUUUGAAAUUUUAUAAGUCGCUGACUAAUAUACCGAAAAUAAUGAUAAAUUCAUAUUUUGGUAGAAAAUUUAACGCUCUACAAAAAAGCUCUGAUGCAUAAAAUUCGUAAAUGAAAGCGUUCGUGUGUUAAUUAACGAAUUGGAUGUAGAGAGCUCAAAUUUUCAGAUUUUUUUAAGUUUUUUUUUUCGAUUUAAAAACGUUUAAGCUCCUGGGAGAGUAAAAAUUCAAAAAAAAAACCCUGUUAAUGAUCACCUUAGCGUGCAUAGAUGUGUAAUAGUGGCAUAUGACUUAACACUUCUCCAUUUCAAAUUCUUCAUUAAUGACCGCACGGUAACCUGGCAACGGAUUUGCUUCUCGAUGUAAACACACCUGUCACUAUUACAUUUCUAGAGGCCAAGGAAUGCACCUAUCUCACAAGCAUGGCCGUGUUAGUCGAAAGCUCGAUAUACGUUUAAAGAAAUGAAAAAAAAUGUGCCAUUUUUUACACACUAUUUUCGUACAUCUAUUAGAUUUUAUAUUCAAAGAAAUCCGCCACAACGUUUAUUUCUAUAAUCUUAUUCCGUCUUAAAAUUUACCUGUAAUAAUAGUUACACGAUUAAAAUAAAAGUAAAUAAUGCUUCUAAAAUCUGAUGUGAAAAUUACCUCGACACGUCUGAAUAAAUAAAUAAAUAAAUAAAUUGAUCUUCAAUUACAAUAAACAAUGGAGAAAGUAACCAGUGACGAUGCCUCGAUUUCCGAUUCAAAUAGAAUUUUCAACAAGUUGCCACCAUGGCUUGCAGAAAUGACUGAGAGUGUGAAGAAACUAAAGACGCCAGAAGAAAGAGUGAAUUUUCUUUCGUGCAAGCCAUUUGCAUCAGACGAAUCUUCGAUCAGUCCAGCUGUUUCUUCGAUGAUUAUCGGUGUUACAGAAAAAAGCAACAGAACAAACGAAGAGCCGCGUCAACUACCAUUUACAGUUGAAACUCCCGACGGAGUUGGCGGCUGUAUUAUCUUACAAUCAUCGACAACCGCUUCGCUUCCAAAUACGCCGAAAGAUGAACAUGAAUUUUCACGAGCCUACUCGGCACUCUCAGCCUUCAGUUUACCGGAGUCGAAUGAAAACAAGUUCGCAAUGUUGGAUAAGUACCUGGAAAAAAAAGAUGUCGAGAAAGCUACGGAUUCUAAGAGUGGAGUAAAAAGUUGGGAACGCUUACAUUCCCCUUUAGAGUCGAAACCAUCUGCGGAAACCGAACAGCGGUUAGAUCGUAGCGUGCUAGACAGAAAACCAUUCGAGAGACUCGCAGCUAAUCAUUCGGCCAUUGACGUUCAGAUAAAGAAAACUAGAAGAACGACCCGACAGCAGCAGCAAAUCACCGGAAAACCUUCGAGAAUUCACAUACCACCCUACAGACGUACGAGUACUGAUUUAUUGGAAGAGGAAACUGGUUUGAAUUUACCCAUCGGAGUAGUGAGAAGGAAGCAAGAUUAUUUAGCCGGAGUUGCGUCGAGAGGAGAUAUUCGAGUAGAAAGCAGCGACCCUGUUAGGAGCGAUGAAAAAAUGAUAAACGGAAAUAGACUAAGAAUUGAAACGACAGUUUCCGCACCUGCGUCUAUUUCACAGCAGAAAAAUGUCAGUAAAUUACCGAUAACAGAUAAAGUUGCAAAAUUGAAUCUACAAGCUUCUGGGAAACCAGCUCUCACCGAGGUUGUUAAAAAAAGUGUGCAAACAGAUUUAAAUCAAGCAGAAAGUAGUCCAAACUCACUCUUGUCCAAUUGUAGGCGACCCUUGUAUCACUACGAGCGAUAUCCACCAAAAGAAAACUCUAUUGCUUAUGAUUUCAUAAUACCUGAACUGCCACGUGGAACAACGCUUGUCAUAGAUAUUUUAACAACGUGGGGUGACAAACACUACGUAGGGCUCAACGGAAUUGAGAUAUUUUCUGACAUAGGUGAACCCGUAUGCAUAAGCAAGAUAUGGGCUGACCCUACGGAUAUAAACGUGUUACCGGAGUACAACAACGAUCCACGUGUUGUCGGCAAUUUAAUUAACGGAAUAAAUCAAACUACAGACGACUACAACUUGUGGCUUGCUCCGUACACAAGCGGAAGCCAUCACUACAUUCACAUGACGUUUGAGGCAGCGGUAAAUGUUGCAAUGAUCAGAAUUUGGGUAAGAUUUCAAUGUAAUGGUACGAUUGUUUUUCAUUGUAUUUUUCAUAUCGUUUCGAUUGAGCUGAAAACGAGGAGUUAUUGUCACUGCGCUGACUUAUUUUCUUCCCAGAACUACAACAAAUCCAGAAUUCAUUCUUACAGAGGAGUUAGAGAUGUUAAAAUUACACUUGACGAUGUUGUUAUAUUUGAUGGUGAAAUUGCCAGGGCAUCCGGAGGUGUAUUUGGCAACAUUAAUUCGUUUGGAGAUACGAUCCUCUUCACAACGGAAGGAAACAUUUUGGAGCUGAUAUCGAAACACGAUGCGACGUAUUCUUUCGGCGCGGGUGAAAUAGAAUCACCGACAAAGGAAACGGAUCGACCAAUAACAACUGAUACAGGCGAAGGACGUCCGCUGACUUGUGCCAGCUCUAAUCAAUCAAACUCGUCUAACUACAGCAGUAAUAUAUUUUCGUACAUUUGCAAAGAGGUCGAAUUAGUUCUUCUUUCCAAUUGGGGACAUUCCGGUCUCAUCGGGCUGACUGGAAUAGAGUUGAUAGGUGACCAGGAUUCCACAAUUCCUUUAACACAGGCCUCGUUAUCCUGUAACGUUGGAUGCAAGCAUCUCAAUCGAUUGAUAGAUGGAAAUAAUUUGACUACAGAACCUAGCCACAUGUGGGCCACUUAUUUUUUACGAGGGGAUAACCCGACUUUAACGAUUACUUUUCAAACAGAGAUAUUUUUUACUGGAAUAAGAAUUUGGAACUACAAUGCCUCCUUGGACCUUUCGUAUUGCGGGGUGAGGCAAAUGCUUAUUAAAUUGGAUGGGAAAUCGGUGUGUAACGAUUGUGAUGGUUUUAUGUUAAGAAGAGCACCGGGUAGUUGUCACUACGAUUUUCUGCAAGAAAUUAAUUUUGCUAAUCAGUCUGCGAUAUCAGAGCCAUUGAAACAUCGGAUUACGUCAAUUGAUGCGUUUCUCAAAGCUAAUCGCAUGUGUGACAAUGCCGACUACGAAGCUCCGAUGAUGCCGCAAGGAUUCGUCUAUCAAGUGAUCAUCUUUUCAACUUGGGGCGAUUCUUAUUACGUUGGCCUGACCGGUAUCGAAAUAUAUCACAGCCUACCCAGAAAGUGUGAACGUAAUCGAGGGAGUAGACAACGAUGUUCGCACUCCUGACAAAUUAGUAGAUGGUGUAAACGAUACUACAGACGGUCAUCACAUGUGGCUGGCUCCAAUUUUACCAAAUCAGACCAACAGAAUUUACAUUAUCUUUGACUCUCCGGUUAUGGUAUCUGCUAUUAAAAUGUGGAACUAUAAAAAGACUCCACAGCGCGGAGUUAAAGAAUUUGCU